GGGUGCGAUCGUACCGGCACUAAUGCACUGAAUCCCAUCAGAACUUUGUAGUUAAGUGUGGUUGGGCUAGAGUGUUACUAGGAAGGGGUUAUUGGUUGUUGUAUUUU
rfam:Brassica oleracea var. oleracea cultivar TO1000 chromosome C5, whole genome shotgun sequence